rnacentral:rRNA from 1 species
GUGGGGAAUAUUGGACAAUGGGCGAAAGCCUGAUCCAGCCAUGCCGCGUGAGUGAUGAAGGCCUUAGGGUUGUAAAGCUCUUUCAGUAGGGAAGAUAAUGACGGUACCUACAGAAGAAGCCCCGGCUAACUUCGUGCCAGCAGCCGCGGUAAUACGAAGGGGGCUAGCGUUGUUCGGAUUUACUGGGCGUAAAGCGCACGUAGGCGGAUUGGUCAGUUAGAGGUGAAAUCCUGGAGCUCAACUCCAGAACUGCCUUUAAUACUGCCAGUCUAGAGUCCAGAAGAGGGGAGUGGAACUCCUAGUGUAGAGAUGGAAUUCGUAGAUAUUAGGAAGAACACCAGUGGCGAAGGCGGCUCACUGGUCUGGUACUGACGCUGAGGUGCGAAAGCGUGGGGAGCAAACAGGAUUAGAUACCCGUGUAGUCC